rnacentral:rRNA from 1 species
AUUGAACGCUGGCGGCAUGCUUUACACAUGCAAGUCGAACGGCAGCGGGGGCUUCGGCCUGCCGGCGAGUGGCGAACGGGUGAGUAAUGCAUCGGAACGUGCCCAUGUCGUGGGGGAUAACGUAGCGAAAGCUACGCUAAUACCGCAUACGCCCUGAGGGGGAAAGCGGGGGAUUCUUCGGAACCUCGCGCGAUUGGAGCGGCCGAUGUCGGAUUAGCUAGUAGGUGGGGUAAAGGCCCACCUAGGCGACGAUCCGUAGCGGGUCUGAGAGGAUGAUCCGCCACACUGGGACUGAGACACGGCCCAGACUCCUACGGGAGGCAGCAGUGGGGAAUUUUGGACAAUGGGGGCAACCCUGAUCCAGCCAUGCCGCGUGAGUGAAGAAGGCCCUCGGGUUGUAAAGCUCUUUUGUCCGGAAAGAAAAGCAAUCGGUUAAUACCCGGUUGUCCUGACGGUACCGGAAGAAUAAGCACCGG